rnacentral:rRNA from 1 species
UCACUUUCAACAACGGAUCUCUUGGCUCUCGCAUCGAUGAAGAACGUAGCGAGGUGCGAUAGGUAAUGUGAAUUGCAGUAUUCCGUGAAUCAUCGAAUCUUUGAACGCAUAUUGCACUUUCUGGUAUUCCGGAAAGUAUGCCUGUUUGAGGGUCAGUU